rfam:Medicago truncatula strain A17 chromosome 1, whole genome shotgun sequence.
CUCUGCAAAUAUAAAAUAUUUGGUUUUGGUCCUUGGUAUUUUGUUUUAAUCCUUGUAAAAUCAUUUCAUAUUGAAAAUGGUCCCUAUAAUAUUCAUUUUAGUCCUCGUUUUGAGGGACUAAAAUCAAAUAUUCUACAUAUUACAAGGACAAAAUCCAAUAUGAAUCAAUUUUACAAGGACUAAAAUAAAAUACCAAGGACCAAAACCAAAUUUUUUAUAUUUACAGAGA